rnacentral:rRNA from 1 species
AGGGCACCACCAGGAGUGGAGCCUGCGGCUUAAUUUGACUCAACACGGGAAAACUCACCCGGCCCGGACACCGUAAGGAUUGACAGACUGAGAGCUCUUUCUUAAUUCGGUGGGUGGUGGUGCAUGGCCGUUCUUAGUUGGUGGAGCGAUUUGUCUGGUUAAUUCCGAUAACGAACGAGACUCUGGCCUAUUAAAUAGACGGUAUAUCGAAAAGUAUAUCGCGCUUCUUAGAGGGACAAGCGGCGUCUAGCCGCAUGAAAUAGAGCAAUAACAGGUCUGUGAUGCCCUUAGAUGUCCGGGGCCGCACGCGCGCUACACUGAAGGAACCAGCGUGCUUAAUCACCUUGGCCGGAAGGCUUGGGGAAUCCGAUUAAACUCCUUCGUGAUUGGGACUGAGCUUUGUAAUUAUCGCUCAUGAACGAGGAAUUCCCAGUAAGCGCGAGUCAUAAGCUCGCGUUGAUUACGUCCCUGCCCUUUGUACACACCGCCCGUCGCUACUACCGAUUGAAUGAUUUAGUG